UGUGGCUUAGUGAAAGAGCCUCCGCUUUGUAUGCAGAAGAUCUCAGGUUCAAUUCCCAGCAUCUCAA
rnacentral:tRNA from 1 species